rfam:Schistosoma haematobium scaffold1860_9, whole genome shotgun sequence.
AUCUUGCUGACGACUCCCAAAUAAAACGAAACACAUGUUCUAGAU